rnacentral:lncRNA from 1 species
GGAAUCUAGAAGUGUUUUUACCUGUUCGUUUAAAGAUGGGGAGACGGGUGCUCUGUGUGCAUUCGGUUGAGUACACGGCUCAGUCUUGUGCUGGAAGAAGGCUGCUGUUUUGUUCCUGUAUGGCUGGCAGAUUUGGUCUUCACCCGUAUCAAUUCAGAGAUUACAAGAGAUGGAGUCCUUUAGAGCUACCAUACACACUUUCUGAUCGGCUACCUGGUUCUGAGUUGGGUAUUACGAGGCUUUCAGUAAGUCCUUUUCAUUGUUUACUCUCUGGGGAGUCAUCAGAAGCAGCCAGCCAACACCACCGUCUUUAUAAUCACAAUUGUCACCAUGGAGACUAAGUGCCACGGUGACUUGAAUUCCAUUGUCC